rnacentral:rRNA from 1 species
AACGAACGCUGGCGGCAGGCUUAACACAUGCAAGUCGAACGCCCCGCAAGGGGAGUGGCAGACGGGUGAGUAACGCGUGGGAAUCUACCUAGUUCUACGGAACAACAGUUGGAAACGACUGCCAAUACCGUAUACGCCCUACGGGGGAAAGAUUUAUCGGAAUUAGAUGAGCCCGCGUAAGAUUAGCUAGUUGGUGGGGUAAUGGCCUACCAAGGCGACGAUCUUUAGCUGGUCUGAGAGGAUGAUCAGCCACACUGGGACUGAGACACGGCCCGGACUCUGACGGGGGGCAGCAGGGGGGAAUGUUGAACAAUGGGCGCAAGCCUGAUCCAGCCAUCCCGCGUGAGUGAUGAAGGCCUUAGGGUUGUAAAGCUCUUUCACCGAUGAAGAUAAUGACGGUGGUCGGAGAAGAAGCCCCGGCUAACUUCGUGCCAGCAGCCGCCGUAA